GGGCCCGCACAAGCGGCGGAGCAUGCGGAUUAAUUCGAUGCAACGCGAAGAACCUUACCAAGGCUUGACAUAUAGAGGAAAAGUGCAGAAAUGCACUCCCCGCAAGGUCUCUAUACAGGUGGUGCAUGGUUGUCGUCAGCUCGUGUCGUGAGAUGUUGGGUUAAGUCCCGCAACGAGCGUAACCCUUGUCUUUAGUUGCCAUCAUUUAGUUGGGCACUCUAAUAGAACUGCCUGUGAUAAACAGGAGGAAGGUGGGGAUGACGUCAAAUCAUCACGGCCCUUACGUCCUGGGCUACACACGUGCUACAAUGGCCGGUACAGAGAGCAGCCACUACGCGAGUAGGAGCGAA
rnacentral:rRNA from 1 species